rnacentral:rRNA from 1 species
CCUGGCUCAGAUUGAACGCUGGCGGCAUGCCUUACACAUGCAAGUCGAACGGCAGCGGACCUUCGGGUGCCGGCGAGUGGCGAACGGGUGAGUAAUAUAUCGGAACGUACCUUUCAGUGGGGAUAACGUAGCGAAAGUUACGCUAAUACCGCAUAUUCUGUGAGCAGGAAAGCAGGGGAUCGCAAGACCUUGCGCUGAUUGAGCGGCCGAUAUCAGAUUAGCUAGUUGGUGAGGUAAAGGCUCACCAAGGCGACGAUCUGUAGCGGGUCUGAGAGGAUGAUCCGCCACACUGGAACUGAGACACGGUCCAGACUCCUACGGGAGGCAGCAGUGGGGAAUUUUGGACAAUGGGAGCAAGCCUGAUCCAGCCAUGCCGCGUGAGUGAAGAAGGCCUUCGGGUUGUAAAGCUCUUUCGGCCGGGAAGAAAUCGCACAGGUUAAUACCCUGUGUAGAUGACGGUACCGGAAUAAGAAGCACCGGCUAACUACGUG